rnacentral:rRNA from 1 species
AAGCGUGAACGCUUUUUCUUUACCGCCGCUUGCUCCACCGAAGAAAAAGAGUGGCGAACGGGUGAGUAACACGUGGGUAACCUGCCCAUCAGAAGGGGAUAACACUUGGAAACAGGUGCUAAUACCGUAUAACACUAUUUUCCGCAUGGAAGAAAGUUGAAAGGCGCUUUUGCGUCACUGAUGGAUGGACCCGCGGUGCAUUAGCUAGUUGGUGAGGUAACGGCUCACCAAGGCAACGAUGCAUAGCCGACCUGAGAGGGUGAUCGGCCACACUGGGACUGAGACACGGCCCAGACUCCUACGGGAGGCAGCAGUAGGGAAUCUUCGGCAAUGGACGAAAGUCUGACCGAGCAACGCCGCGUGAGUGAAGAAGGUUUUCGGAUCGUAAAACUCUGUUGUUAGAGAAGAACAAGGAUGAGAGUAGAACGUUCAUCCCUUGACGGUAUCUAACCAGAAAAGCCACGGCUAACUACGUGCCAGCAGCCGCGGUAAUACGUAGGUGGCAAGCGUUGUCCCGGAUUUAUUGGGCCGUAAAAGCGAGCGCAGGCGGUUUCUUAAGGUCUGAUUGUGAAAAGCCCCCCCGGCUCCAACCGGGGAGGGUCAUUGGAAACUGGGGAGACUUGAAUUGCAGAAACAGGAGAGUGGAAUUCCCAUGUGUAGCGGUGGAAAUGC